rnacentral:rRNA from 1 species
GUAAGUUAUUAAGGGCACACGGUGGAUGCCUUGGCAUUAAGAGCCGAUGAAGGACGUGUGAAUCUGCGAUAAGCCUCGGGGAGCCGAUAACUGGGCUGUGAUCCGAGGAUUUCCGAAUGGGGAAACCUGGCUCAUCUUCAUGGUGAGUUACCGCCAGCUGAAUGUAUAGGCUGGUUGGGGGGAACGCGGGGAAGUGAAACAUCUCAGUACCCGCAGGAAGAGAAAAUAAAGUAAUGAUUCUGUGAGUAGUGGCGAGCGAAAGCGGAAGAGACUAAACCUGUGGUGUGUGAUAGCGGUUAGGCGUUGCAUCAUGGGGGUUGUGGGAGUCACAGUGGCAGUUCUAACUGGCUGCCGGCAUGAUGUUCAGGAUGGUAGGUGAACGACUUGGAAUGGUCGGCCGUAGAGGGUGAGAGUCCCGUAAUCGAAAUUGUUCUGUCCGUGGUGUGGCCACCCGAGUAGCACGGGGCUCGUGGAAUCUCGUGUGAAUCUGCCAGGACCACCUGGUAAGUCUAAAUACUUCUUAAUGACCGAUAGUGAAUCAGUACCGUGAGGGAAUGGUGAAAAGUACCCCGGGAGGGGAGUGAAAUAGUACCUGAAACCGUGUGCUUACAAGCCGUUGGAGCCUUUUGGGGUGACAGCGUGCCUUUUGAAGAAUGAGCCUGCGAGUUAGUGUUAUGUCGCGAGGUUAACCCGUGUGGGGUAUCCGUAGCGAAAGCGAGUCUGAAUAGGGCGUUUGAGUGGCAUGACCUAGACCCGAAGCGGAGUGAUCUAUCCAUGGCCAGGUUGAAGCGACGGUAAGACGUCGUGGAGGACCGAACCCACUUCAGUUGAAAAUGGAGGGGAUGAGCUGUGGAUAGGGGUGAAAGGCCAAUCAAACUCUGUGAUAGCUGGUUCUCCCCGAAAUGCAUUUAGGUGCAGCGUUACGUGUUUCUUGCCGGAGGUAGAGCUACUGGAUGGCCGAUGGGCCUUCACGGGUUACUGACGUCAGCUAAACUCCGAAUGCCGGUAAGUGAGAGCGUAGCAGUGAGACAGUGGGGGAUAAGCUUCAUUGUCGAGAGGGAAACAGCCCAGACCACCAACUAAGGCCCCUAAGCGUGUGCUAAGUGGGAAAGGAUGUGGAGUUGCUUAGACAACCAGGAGGUUGGCUUAGAAGCAGCCAUCCUUGAAAGAGUGCGUAACAGCUCACUGGUCAAGUGAUUCUGCGCCGAUAAUGUAGCGGGGCUCAAGUACACCGCCGAAGUUGUGGCAAUGACCUUUUUUGGUUGUUGGGUAGGGGAGCGUCGUGUAGCCGGUGAAGCUGCGGUGUAAACCAGUGGUGGAGGCUAUGCGAGUGAGAAUGCAGGCAUGAGUAGCGAAAGAUGAGUGAGAAACUCAUCCGCCGGAUGAUCAAGGGUUCCAGGGUCAAGUUAAUCUGCCCUGGGUUAGUCGGGGCCUAAGGCGAGGCCGACAGGCGUAGUCGAUGGAUAACGGGUUGAUAUUCCCGUACCGGUGAAAAACCGCCCAUACUGAUAUUGUGAUGCUAACCAUGCGAAGCAUGAUGUGCAGGCUUUUGUUUGUGUGUUGUGUGGGUUGUGGGACCCGAUCUUUGGAGGUAAACGUGUUAACAGGUGUGACGCAGGAAGGUAGCCAAGCCACGCGAUGGUUGUCGUGGUCUAAGCGUGUAGGGUUGUCGGUUGUUAAAUGCGCCGGCUGUGUGCCUGAGACGUGAUGGGACCCCGUUUUUGGGGGAUUUGGUGAUCCUAUGCUGCCGAGAAAAGCAUCGGCGUGAGGUUUUAGCCGCCCGUACCCUAAACCGACACAGGUGAUCAGGUAGAGAAUACUAAGGCGAUCGAGAGAAUCAUGGUUAAGGAACUCGGCAAAAUGCCCCCGUAACUUCGGGAGAAGGGGGACCUUGAGCGUGAUGGGCACUUGCUGCCUGGAGCGUGUAUGGGUCGCAGAGACCAGGGGGAAGCGACUGUUUAUCAAAAACACAGGUCCGUGCGAAGUCGUAAGACGAUGUAUACGGACUGACUCCUGCCCGGUGCUGGAAGGUUAAGAGGAUUGGUUAGCCUUUGUGGCGAAGCUGAGAAUUUAAGCCCCAGUAAACGGCGGUGGUAACUAUAACCAUCCUAAGGUAGCGAAAUUCCUUGUCGGGUAAGUUCCGACCUGCACGAAUGGAGUAACGACUUCCCUACUGUCUCAACCAUGAACUCGGCGAAAUUGCAGUACGAGUAAAGAUGCUCGUUUCGCGCAGCAGGACGGAAAGACCCCGUGACCUUUACUAUAGUUUGGUAUUGGUGUUUGGUUUGGCUUGUGUAGGAUAGGUGGGAGACUGUGAAGCAUGGACGCUAGUUUGUGUGGAGUCGUUGUUGAAAUACCACUCUGGUCAAUCUGGAUGUCUAACUUCGGGCCAUGAUCUGGUUCAGGGACAGUGCCUGAUGGGUAGUUUAACUGGGGCGGUUGCCUCCUAAAGUGUAACGGAGGCGCCCAAAGGUUCCCUCAGCCUGGUUGGCAAUCAGGUGUUGAGUGUAAGUGCACAAGGGAGCUUGACUGUGAGACUGGCAGGUCGAGCAGGGACGAAAGUCGGGACUAGUGAUCCGGCGGUACGUUGUGGAACGGCCGUCGCUCAACGGAUAAAAGGUACCUCGGGGAUAACAGGCUGAUCUUGCCCAAGAGUCCAUAUCGACGGCAUGGUUUGGCACCUCGAUGUCGGCUCGUCGCAUCCUGGGGCUGGAGUCGGUCCCAAGGGUUGGGCUGUUCGCCCAUUAAAGCGGUACGCGAGCUGGGUUCAGAACGUCGNNNNNNNNNNNNNNNNNNNNNNNNNNNNNNNNNNNNNNGGUUUGGCACCUCGAUGUCGGCUCGUCGCAUCCUGGGGCUGGAGUCGGUCCCAAGGGUUGGGCUGUUCGCCCAUUAAAGCGGUACGCGAGCUGGGUUCAGAACGUCGUGAGACAGUUCGGUCCCUAUCCGCUGCGCGCGUUGGAAAUUUGAGAAAGGCUGUCCUUAGUACGAGAGGACCGGGACGGACGAACCUCUGGUAUGUCAGUUGUACCGCCAGGUGCAUGGCUGAUUGGCUACGUUCGGGAGGGAUAACCGCUGAAAGCAUCUAAGCGGGAAGCCUGUUUCGAGAUGAGAUUUCCUGGCACUUUUUGGUGUGUGAGGCUCCUUAUAGAUGAUGAGGUUGAUAGGCCGGGUAUGGAAGCGGGGACUGAAGACUCGUGGAGUUGACUGGUACUAAUAGGCCGAAGGCUUACUUUU